ensembl:lncRNA
CCUCUCAAGUCCUGUAUGCUGACUUCCUCUAACAAAGGGAAUAAAAUAGGAGGAUAAAGAAAGACGAGAGAGAGCGGCCUCUUUCUUGUAUUUCGCGAGGCACUACUUGUAUUCCUAGCGGACAUUCUGCCUUCAGCUCUCGUUCCUUGUGCCCUUGUUUCCCCUCUUUAUCUCUCUCUCUUCCUCCUCUACAACACUAGUCCUCGUUGGAAGCAUUCUACCAAAGACCACACACAAGUUUGUUCGUUCUCCUGCCAAAAUCUACUUGCCAAACAGCAGGAUGCAUACCAAUGGCGCCCUGCAGUACAAACUGGUCUACUUGCUAGACGAGGAGUGGGAAUGUGGUUUCUUCAGUAAUGGUGAGUAUUUGCUGAAUUCCUUAUUUGUUUCCCCACUGAUGAGCACAUGUGUGCUUUUCUGCUGUUGGACUGAGGCUC